AAGAUGAAUUAACUAACUCAAUUAGUUACAUGGAAAAUCUAUAAUCCUGUUUUGAUCAAAGUGAACAUUAUUAAAACAACCUGGGAGAAGCCAGUGAUUGAGGAAGUUGAUUAACAUAUGUAUUCUUAUCAAAGUAUUUCUGUACAAAAAGUAACAAAAUCAUAAUUUGUGUUAAAAUAUACCACUAGCCACUAAUUUAAAAACAUUCCGUUGGUAUUGGAUAGGUUUAUUAUGUUGGUGGUUAAGACUAGGUUGUAAUCGCAGUCACGCCUGAUUGAUUUGUCUGAUAACUUUCAUGUCUGAAAAAUGGGAAGUCCUACUUACGGGAGUAAAAACCAAUUUAUCUAAAGGGUAAUAAGAUCACAUGCAUCAACCAUUUCAGCAAGCCUGAUGACCUGAUCUCAUUGUUUGCCUCAUACAGAGAGACAGACAAAAUAGUAUAUUUUUUGUGUCACGUGAAUGUACAUUGCAAUUGAAAAGGCAGAGGUAAAAACAUAAAAUAUACAAACACCAGCCCAUAUGGCCAAUGAGACACACUAGACAUUAUGUGCAUAAAAUGUAUAAAAUAUAAGCUUAAAACCUAAAAGGAUUAUCACAGACACGGCAAGCAUGGGUUGCUGAAGACCAAUUCUAUUGAGGAUCAAAGGACAUCACUUGACUUCAUCAUUGUGAUUCUAAUUGUCCUAAAAGCAUUUGUACUAUAAACACAGGUUACAUUUGUCAUGGUUUAUUAUUUUUGGGUGAUCACUUGUUAGCAUUGAAAUUAUCUUUGAAAAGAUGUGUGACCAACGGGAAUUGGUUUGGUAUGUUGCUGCAAUUAUUUCAUAUAUUUGCUUCUGUUAGUUAUCAAAAUCUAUUACCAUAUAUUUAUUCCUAAAAUAUUGACCUAAUUAAUGGUAAAUAAAAUUAUAAGUGACUUUUGUUUCAAACAAGGAAUAUAAA